AUGUCGACAAGCUCAGUCAGGUCAUCGCUCGUCGACCGUUCGGUGGUGGUGCCGCUCAUAAGAUGCCCUUCUUGCGGCGCUCGUGUGAAGUUCUAUCUCUCGAACACAGAGAAGCACGAGGGUUGGGUCUUCUACAGAUGUUCUGUUGGUGACCAUUUCUGGCAUUGGGAGUUGGAAUACGUUUGUCUACUUGCUGGAUAA
rnacentral:rRNA from 1 species